AAUGGAGGCAACUCUGAUCCAGCAAUGCCGCGUGUGUGAUGACGGCCCUAGGGUUGUAAAGCACUUUCAACGGUGAGGAUGAUGACGGUAGCCGUAGAAGAAGCCCCGGCUAACUUCGUGCCAGCAGCCGCGGUAAUACGAAGGGGGCGAGCGUUAUUCGGAAUUAUUGGGCGUAAAGGGCUCGCAGGCUGCUUGAACAGUUAGACGUGAAAUCCCCGGGCUCAACCUGGGAACUGCGUUUAAUACUAGCAAGCUAGAGAAAUAGAGAGGAAAGUGGAACUCCCAGUGUAGAGGUGAAAUUCGUAGAUAUUGGGAAGAACACCAGUGGCGAAAGCGACUUUCAGGCUAUUUUCUGACGCUGAGGAGCGAAAGCGUGGGGAGCAAACUGGAUU
rnacentral:rRNA from 1 species